rnacentral:rRNA from 1 species
AGCAGCCGCGGUAAUUCCAGCUCCAAUAGCGUAUAUUAAAGUUGUUGCAGUUAAAAAGCUCGUAGUUGAAUUUCGGGGUUAGUAGGUUGGUCAUGCCUCUGGUAUGUACUGGUCUCACUGAUUCCUCCUUCCUGAUGAACUACUANCNCU